CGGCCUCGCUAGGGGUCCUGGAGCUUUGCUGCCGGGUGAGAGAUACCCUUCGUACCUGAUCUGGAUAAUGCCAGCGAAGGAAAGCGCAAAGUAGUUCUC
rnacentral:ncRNA from 2 species